UACGUAGGUGGCAAGCGUUGUCCGGAAUUAUUGGGCGUAAAGCGCGCGCAGGCGGCCUUUUAAGUCUGAUGUGAAAGCCCACGGCUCAACCGUGGAAGGUCAUUGGAAACUGAAAGGCUUGAGUACAGAAGAGGAAAGCGGAAUUCCACGUGUAGCGGUGAAAAUGCGUAGAGAUGUGGAGGAACACCAGUGGCGAAGGCGGCUUUCUGGUCUGUAACUGACGCUGAGGCGCGAAAAGCGUGGGGGAGCAAACAGG
rnacentral:rRNA from 1 species